GGAUUGUGGCUCAGUGGUAGAGUUUUCGCCUAGCAUGUGCGAGGCCCUGGGUUCGAUCCUCAGGACCA
rnacentral:tRNA from 1 species